UACGGAGGGUGCGAGCGUUGGUCCGGAAUCACUGGGCGUAAAGGCGCGUAGGCGGCCUGAUAAGUAGGGGGUGAAAUCCUGCGGCUUAACCGCAGGGGCUGCCUUCUAAACUGUCAGGCUUGAGCACAGUAGAGGCAGGUGGAAUUCCCGGUGUAGCGGUGGAAUGCGUAGAGAUCGGGAAGAACAUCAGUGGCGAAGGCGGCCUGCUGGGCUGUUGCUGACGCUGAGGCGCGACAGCGUGGGGAGCAAACAGG
rnacentral:rRNA from 1 species